UACGUAGGGGGCUAGCGUUGUCCGGAUUUAUUGGGCGUAAAGAGCGUGUAGGCGGCCAUGUAGGUCCGGUGUGAAAACUCGAGGCUUAACCUCGAGAUGUCAUCGGAAACCAUUUGGCUAGAGUCCGGAAGAGGAGAGUGGAAUUCCUGGUGUAGCGGUGAAAUGCGCAGAUAUCGAGGAGGAACACCGUGGCGGAAGGCGGGUCGCUGGGCACACUGACGCUGAGGACGAAAGCGUGGGGAGCGAACAGG
rnacentral:rRNA from 1 species